GUAUUGGUCCCGUCGGCGGGACGGCAGGGCUUCAGGCCAAAGCUCAGCGUGGCGUUCCUCGAGCCCAGCCCGAGAUUCAUCAACAGCGAUGAUGCCAUCCUCUCCCAUCUCACUUACCUUCUAGUCAAGGGAGGGGAAAGAAUGAAAUAUCCAAAAGGUAUCAACUUUCCAACGGCCAAGCGGAUCAAAGAGCUCGGCAGUGGGAGCGAUUCAGCAAG
rnacentral:lncRNA from 1 species